AGCAGAGCUGUGAUUAAUAGGCAUAAAAGCGCAGGAGGCCACAUGUACUGUCCUUGAGCUUUGGUCUUUUUAAUUUUAUAUUUCCCUCCUCUCAUUCAGGAGGUGGAUGGCUUCCUGGCUGUAAGAAGAGGAUGGAAAUGGUGUGAUGCGACAGCACAUGAAAAAUGUGAGGCCUGCAACAAUGCCCUUGUGCUAAAUUGGGUGGUUUAAACGUUGAGGAGGAAGGAGGCUUGAACAGAGCAAUCAGACUACUACAAGAUCCUCUCAUGGCUGAGACACUGACAGAGAAGUGGCUAGCACAGGAAUAACAACUGCUUUGCAUCCUUCAGAGCAAGGGUGAAAGGCAACUAUUGAGGCUCUUGGCCUCUCCUUGCAGAAGAUGAUGAAGGAAACCCUAUAAGCCAAGCACAUGAGGCACAUAUCCCAAGAGUGCAGACCAACAUACCACUUGAACCAUUCCCAGAAUGUCACUGAUUGGAAAAUGGUCCACAAUUGACAUGGGGCAGAGAUGUCCACUCUUAACAUUGCCAAGGGUCCAAGAAGAAGGGUCAUCUUUAGGGAUUGGAGUCUCCUGGUUGUGAGCCUCUGGAGUUUCCCCACAAUUCCCUAAGCAAAAUUGGCUGGACACCAAGGAAAAUGAACAGGAAGAUGUCAACUGCAUGUAAAUGACAUGUUCUGUUUUCCUUUCUCUCUUACACUUGAGUUCAAUAAAGAAGGUUCCUGUA